rfam:Trichuris suis scaffold47.2, whole genome shotgun sequence.
CCUCUGAUAGCUCAGUUGGUAGAGCGGUGGACUGUAGCGUUCGUAACGCCGAUAUCCAUAGGUCGCUGGUUCAAAUCCGGCUCAGAGGA